AGGUGCACGCCGGCUGCGGGGAGCACAAAGCGGGGCGCACCGAGGGCGCCGGCAGCGAGCCGGAGAGCUAGGCGAGGCCCGUGCGCCCGCGCCUGCAGCGCCCUCCGCGUGGGGAGAGGGGCUGGUGGCGUUAGCCCAGGCGGCGGCAUCCGCGCGGUGGCAUCCCUAGUUGCCCCGGGCGCCUUCUUCGGGACCUGGCCUCUCUCUGCCUCGCCCUCUGCACCCCACUUCUCCUGCCCUCCUUCCCAAUCCUGCCUGCUUCUGCCCCGACCCCCGAGAGUCGGAUUGAGCCCAGGCCCGCGCAGCAGCUGUUGCUCGUGUCGUUGCCUCGCCUCCUGUCUUGGUGCUCUGCUGGGAGCCCCCCAAGGAGCCAGUACGCGCUGCGGGUUGGGAGGGAGGCGCCGCUCAGCCGGCAGUCCUCCUCCUCCUGCUGCCGCGGCGGGUCCGUGCGCACCCCACAACCCCGCCAGCCGGGCCUCGGGGAUUACUCUGAGUGGAAACAAAAAGAGGAAUAAAUUUGUGGAGGCAAUGAUAUUUGGAAAAUUAUUGCUCUCUGAGGCACAUCUCCAGACUUUGAUUUGGCUGAAGUAACUUCUACCACAGAGCUGUGGGCAUGCCUGGGAUUGAGAAACACAGUUAAAAGACUCCCAGUUGCUUCUUGCCUUUUGAAAACUUCUGAAAACCAUCCCUUCAGACCCCAGAAUUGUACCCAUCUCAACCAAGACUUUGCUUGAAUGUUUACAUUUUCUGCUUCCUAUUCUACCUAUCACUGUUUAGCAUUCACCUUUUGUUAAAAUUUAGGAGUGUCAGGAUUG
rnacentral:lncRNA from 1 species